GAUGAAGAACGUAGCGAAAUGCGAUAAGUAAUGUGAAUUGCAGAAUUCAGUGAAUCAUCGAAUCUUUGAACGCACAUUGCGCCCCCUGGUAUUCCGGGGGGCAUGCCUGUCCGAGCGUCAUUACAACCCUCAAGCUCAGCUUGGUGUUGGGCCCCGCCGCCCCGGCGGGCCCUAAAGUCAGUGGCGGUGCCGUCCGGCUCCGAGCGUAGUAAUUCUUCUCGCUCUGGAGGUCCGGUCGUGUGCUCGCCAGCAACCCCCAAUUUUUUUCAGAUUGACCUCGGAUCAGGUAGGGAUACCCGCUGAACUUAAGCAUAUCAAUAAGCGGAGGA
rnacentral:misc_RNA from 1 species